GAGUUUGAUCCUGGCUCAGGACGAACGCUGGCGGCAGGCUUAACACAUGCAAGUCGAACGCGUGUAGCAAUACACGAGUGGCGCACGGGUGAGUAACACGUGGAUAUCUGCCUUUCGGUUCGGAAUAACCCUGGGAAACUAGGGCUAAUACCGAAUGGUUCCUACGGGAUAAAGAUUUAUCGCCAAAAGAUGAGUCCGCGUCCGAUUAGCUAGUUGGCGGGGUAAUGGCCCACCAAGGCGACGAUCGGUAGCUGGUCUGAGAGGACGAUCAGCCACACUGGGACUGAGACACGGCCCAGACUCCUACGGGAGGCAGCAGUGGGGAAUAUUGGACAAUGGGGGCAACCCUGAUCCAGCCAUGCCGCGUGAGUGAUGAAGGCCUUCGGGUUGUAAGCUCUUUGGUCGGGGACGAUGAUGACGGUACCCGCAGAAUAAGCCCCGGCUAACUUCGUGCCAGCAGCCGCGGU
rnacentral:rRNA from 1 species